UACAGAGGCCACGAGCGUUAGGCGGAAUCACUGGGCUUAAAGCGUGUGUAGGUGGAUGACUAAGUACCUUGUGAAAUCCCAACGGCUCAACCGUGGAACUGCUUGGUAUACUGGUUGUCUUGAGGCACUCAGGGGCGAGCGGAACAGAUGGUGGAGCGGUGAAAUGCGUAGAUAUCAUCUGGAACGCCAAUGGUGAAGACAGCUCGCUGGGGGGUGUACUGACACUGAGACACGAA
rnacentral:rRNA from 1 species